AGUGAACGCUGGCGGCGUGCCUAACACAUGCAAGUCGAACGGAUCUUAAGGGCUUGCUCUUAAGGUUAGUGGCGCACGGGUGAGUAACACGUAGCUAACCUGCCCCAUAGUAAGGGACAACAGUUGGAAACGACUGCUAAUACCUUAUACUCCUUCUCUACCUAAGUAGAGUCGGGAAAGUUUUUUCGCUAUGGGAUGGGGCUGCGGCCUAUCAGCUUGUUGGGGAGGUAAUGGCUCACCAAGGCUAUGACGGGUAGCUGGUCUGAGAGGAUGAUCAGCCACAUUGGAACUGAGACACGGUCCAAACUCCUGCGGGAGGCAGCAGUGGGGAAUUUUACACAAUGGGCGAAAGCCUGAUGUAGCAACGCCGCGUGGAGGAUGAAGGAUUUAGGUUCGUAAACUCCUUUUAUAAGGGAAGAAAUUUGACGGUACCUUAUGAAUAAGCACCGGCUAACUCCGUGCCAGCAGCCGCCGUAA
rnacentral:rRNA from 1 species